CCUGUCUGAAUAUGGGGGGACCAUCCUCCAAGGCUAAAUACUCCUGACUGACCGAUAGUGAACCAGUACCGUGAGGGAAAGGCGAAAAGAACCCCGGCGAGGGGAGUGAAAAAGAACCUGAAACCGUGUACGUACAAGCAGUGGGAGCACCUUCGGGUGUGACUGCGUACCUUUUGUAUAAUGGGUCAGCGACUUAUAUUCUGUAGCAAGGUUAACCGUAUAGGGGAGCCGCAGGGAAACCGAGUCUUAACUGGGCGUUAAGUUGCAGGGUAUAGACCCGAAACCCGGUGAUCUAGCCAUGGGCAGGUUGAAGGUUGGGUAACACUAACUGGAGGACCGAACCGACUAAUGUUGAAAAAUUAGCGGAUGACUUGUGGCUGGGGGUGAAAGGCCAAUCAAACCGGGAGAUAGCUGGUUCUCCCCGAAAGCUAUUUAGGUAGCGCCUCGUGAACUCAUCUUCGGGGGUAGAGCACUGUUUCGGCUAGGGGGUCAUCCCGACUUACCAACCCGAUGCAAACUACGAAUACCGAAGAAUGUUAUCACGGGAGACACACGGCGGGUGCUAACGUCCGUCGUGAAGAGGGAAACAACCCAGACCGCCAGCUAAGGUCCCAAAGUCAUGGUUAAGUGGGAAACGAUGUGGGAAGGCACAGACAGCCAGGAUGUUGGCUUAGAAGCAGCCAUCAUUUAAAGAAAGCGUAAUAGCUCACUGGUCGAGUCGGCCUGCGCGGAAGAUGUAACGGGGCUAAACCAUGCACCGAAGCUGCGGCAGCGACACUAUGUGUUGUUGGGUAGGGGAGCG
rnacentral:rRNA from 1 species